CUUUUCUUCUCUUUUCUUCCAUCCUUUCUCAUCUCUGACACACUUCUCUCCUUUUUGUUUAGCUUUUCUUCUUCUAUUAUGUAGUCAGUGGAAAUUAGAAAAGAAACUGGUUGUGAGCACAGUAACUCUGAAGUUGGACAAGGCACUGGUAGCAACACUAAUGUGAAAUAGGAACUAAGCUUUUCUCAGCUGCACCUUCAAGUUUGCUUUUCUCCCUAAGUUUCUGUUAGGCACAUUCUGCUCAUUUACAAGCUGUGACUCCAUGACUCUUCUCUCUUCCCUCCAGGUCUCGGCUGAGCCCCGAGUGCACACCCAUCUUCCUGCCUCUGGAAGAUCUCCCUGCUCCAGGAUCUAUCCAGGAGAGCUGGGCUGCAAAGCAAGCGCAGCAUCCUCGAGCAGGAAUUGCGUUUUAAAAUAUUGUUACACCAUUCGGCUGAGCAAGCUCCUCUCAUCUGCCCUGAGCCGCCGUGUCCUGCUCCAGCUUCAGAUUCCGCAGCAUGUGCAGGAGGGAAGGAUGUUUGUUCCUUCACUGAGAGCCAGGGGACGGGGGAAUUCUGCCACUAAUUUGUUCUGAUCCUGCUGCCUCAUUAGGGCAGUCUGGAAAAGAUGGGAAAUGUGUCCUAUGGCAGUGAACUUUCUGCAUGGAGCUGUUAACACAGUAAAUAGCUCAGGAGGAGGGAGGGAGACAGCUGGAGCACAUUGUGUUUCAUAAAGACUAUACCGGGACCUUGAGUCUUCAUUUAACCCAUCACUGAGGUGACAAAUAUCCACUGCUUUGCUGCUGGGUGAUGCUGCUGCUGCUUGCCUGUUAAUUUAUCUGUUUUCAGGCUGUCUAGACAUUGUUUGGGUCAAAAAGUGCUGUCUCUCCCCUGCCGUGGGAUUUGCCUGCUCAGCUCUUGCUGCAGGCUGCUGUGCCAAACG
rnacentral:lncRNA from 1 species